UGCUAUAAAGGUACCCGAGGCUGGGUAAUUCAUAAAGAGAUUUAUUUGGUUUUGCAGAGUGCACAAGAAGCAUGGAACCUGCAUCUGCAUGUGAGGCCCUUAGGCUGCUUCUACUCAUGGCAGAAGGUAAAGGGAAGCCGGUGUAUGUAGAGAUCACAUGGCAAGAAGCGAAGCAAGAGAGAGAGUGGGGAGGUGCCAGGCUCUUUAUAACAACCAGCUCUUAAAAGAACCAACAGAGCUCUACAAGAAGCAUGGCACUGGUACCUGCAUCUGAUGAAGGCCUUAGGCUGAUUCCACUUAUGGAGGAAGGGGAAGGGAAGCUGGGAUAUGCAGAGAUCACAUGGUGUCAUCAGACUGCCAAAGAGGUCCAUGUCACAAAAACUAGUUAAGAAUCCCAGCUUUGGAUAAAGACCACAAUUCGCAACAGAUCUUUCCAAAGUCACGUAUUAUUUAGCCCCCUCUUAGUCUUCAACUCAUCUCUCUUCACUCCUCCCCAACAGCUCCUUAUCCACCAGAACAUCUGCACACAAGACUGACUGAACUACUUUCAGUUUCUUUGAUGGCCCAUGUUCUCUCUGUUUCCCCUGCCACAUCCUCUCAAUUCUCCAACCCCAUCCCAUAUAUCCCUGCACCUGGAUAAUGUUUACGCAUUCUUCAGGCUCUGGAAAGCCUUCCUGACAAACACACACACAUGCAUACACACACACACACACACGCAUGUGUGCGCAUGGCUCAGGUCAUGCCACGCUUCCUCCAUAGCAUCCUCUACAUCCCCAGCACAGUGCUUAUCUCCUUUGGUGUAAAUGAUAUCAUCUAUUUUCCUCAAUAGACUCUAAGCAAGCUCUGUAUGUACACGGACCAAGACAGCCCUGCUCACACUUAUAUCCCUGGAAUCUAGUACAAUCUGGCCCUGAAUAAAUAUUUAUUAAUGAUUUGGUGUUUGGACACAUCGAGAACAGUCAUUAGUUCCUUCCUUUCCUUUGCUCCUUGGGCUGCCUGCAAAACUAAGCUGAAAUUCUCUUCCUAACAGCUCCAAACUCUAAAAUCAUGAAACAGCCCCCAAUGUUAUGCUUCAUCCUGAUUAACCAAAACACACUUGCUUUUGAUCACACAGAGAGGACUUCCUCCCUACCUCACCCUGAACUUCCAAUAGACAUUGUCUAGAAUUACAGUUUAUAAGCUCACUCUAACUUCCCUUUGAUGCUAGGUAUUAUCUCAUGCAUGCCUAACAUCCUAGACAUCUACCUACUCAUAGAUGAACCAAGUGUUCCUGAAAUUUCCCCUAAACUCUCCAUUACACUCAAGGGCAUUACUACUUCUGCCCCUAGUAAAAGUCCUCCACAAAGAAUGGCAUGAACCCAGGAGGCAGAGCUUGCAGUUAGCCGAGAUGGCACCACUGCACUACAGGCUGGGCGACAGAGCAAGACUCCGACUCAAAAAAAAAAAAGUCCUCCACAACACUCUUAUGUCAGGCUUGACAGUCAUCUUCUUAGACAUCUCACAGACUGAUAGACUGCUGCAAACGGAAAGAACUCUGCCGUCCAGAGAGGGCAGAGAGAGGGGAGAGGUUGGAAACGGUGUGAAGGAGUAGAGCUCUCAUUAAAAAUCCUUUAGGGAAGAUUUUUGCGCUAUGCAUGCUCAUUAUUCUCUUCCCCCCUCAAU